AGUGCGUUCAAGCACUGCUGGGAGAGGUUCCUGGUGGCAUCUCCUGGGAUCUCUGGAGUGUAUUUCUAGAAGAAGAAAAAAACAAUAAUCUACCAUUAGAGUUUAAUCUUCCACAUAUCAGCUGCAGUAUUGCAAGUAUAAAUGUAUACUUACAGGGAGAGCAUCAGCCCAGCCAGUGGGUAACUCCCCUGUGAUGAUACUUUUCAAGGUUGCUGCAUCCUCUGGGUACUUCUUCUCGUACUCUGCAAACUUAGCAUUCCAAUCAGCCUCAAGUGCAGCACCUUCGGGCGUGUGGCGGCUCCAGUGGCUGCAGUAAUCCAUUCAAAGAAACCAUAGGGUGAGUGAAAUGCAUUUCAUCAUCUCAUUCAGAUCACUAGAAUACUAGCACAAAU
rnacentral:lncRNA from 1 species